rnacentral:rRNA from 1 species
GAUGAACGCUGGCGGCGUGCCUAAUACAUGCAAGUCGAGCGAACAGACGAGGAGCUUGCUCCUCUGACGUUAGCGGCGGACGGGUGAGUAACACGUGGAUAACCUACCUAUAAGACUGGGAUAACUUCGGGAAACCGGAGCUAAUACCGGAUAAUAUAUUGAACCGCAUGGUUCAAUAGUGAAAGACGGUUUUGCUGUCACUUAUAGAUGGAUCCGCGCCGCAUUAGCUAGUUGGUAAGGUAACGGCUUACCAAGGCAACGAUGCGUAGCCGACCUGAGAGGGUGAUCGGCCACACUGGAACGGAGACACGGUCCAGACCCCUACGGGAGGCAGCAGUAGGGAAUCUUCCGCAAGGGGCGAAAGCCUGACGGAGCAACGCCGCGUGAGUGAUGAAGGUCUUCGGAUCGUAAAACUCUGUUAUUAGGGAAGAACAAAUGUGUAAGUAACUAGGCACGUCUUGACGGUACCUAAUCAGAAAGCCACGGCUAACUACG